UAAUACGUAUGGUGCAAGCGUUAUCCGGAUUUACUGGGUGUAAAGGGAGCGUAGACGGAUGGGCAAGUCUGAUGUGAAAACCCGGGGCUCAACCCCGGGACUGCAUUGGAAACUGUUCAUCUAGAGUGCUGGAGAGGUAAGUGGAAUUCCUAGUGUAGCGGUGAAAUGCGUAGAUAUUAGGAGGAACACCAGUGGCGAAGGCGGCUUACUGGACAGUAACUGACGUUGAGGCUCGAAAGCGUGGGGAGCAAACAGGAUUAGAUACCCUGGUAGUCCACGCCGUAAACGAUGACUACUAGGUGUCGGGUGGCAAAGCCAUUCGGUGCCGCAGCAAACGCAAUAAGUAGUCCACCUGGGGAGUACGUUCGCAAGAAUG
rnacentral:rRNA from 1 species